UGCCAAUGCAUCCAUUGCCCCCACUGGC
rnacentral:piRNA from 1 species